ACUAAAAGGAAAAGCAUGAGACACAUACCAGUUAUUCAAAUUGGCAUUACUCUAACAGUGAAAUGCCUCAGAAAGGUUGCAAUAAGAGAGAGAACACCUCUAAAGAAAACAGGUGACAUAAUAGGUCAGAAUUUGUUCUCUCGCUCCUUGCUGUAGGAGCGGCAUACCAAAAAAAAAGCCCUUCCUUGGAUUUGAACCGAUAACUUUCUUAGCCUAUUUCUAAAGGGCGAAGUGAUCAACUUGCAUGUGUUAAGCAUACGACUGAAGUAGCAUGAUUAGACCUUCUUAUCACUUUUUCGACUAGCUAUAAACUUCAACC
rnacentral:lncRNA from 1 species